AAAUGUAAGUAGGAGCGCCCGCUUCUCGCCUUGUGACGUAAGUUGCCUGGCUGAUACGUAAAUAAACCGACCACGGUUGAGUGGUUGGGGAUUUAACGGGUGCUUUAGCGCCCGUUUUUUCUUUGCAAC
rfam:Lactobacillus kimchicus JCM 15530 Scaffold1, whole genome shotgun sequence.